UACGGAGGGUGCGAGCGUUGUCCGGAAUCACUGGGCGUAAAGGGCGCGUAGGCGGCAUGCCAAGCGUGUGGUGAAAGCCCGGGGCUCAACCCCGGGUCGGCCGUGCGGACUGGCAUGCUCGAGCACUGUAGGGGCGGGUGGAAUUCCGGGUGUAGCGGUGGAAUGCGUAGAGAUCCGGAAGAACACCGGUGGCGAAGGCGGCUCUCUGGGACGGUACUGACGCUGAGACGCGAAAGCGUGGGGGA
rnacentral:rRNA from 1 species